AACAGACAUGCCGGAAUUUUAGACAGUUGUGUUGACUCUGGCCUUUUUUUUUACCAGCUUGCAGGCUCGUGGAUUUCCCUACAAUGCCAAGAAGAGUGAGAGGAUAGAAGUGUUUUUGGCAAACUCAAAGACACACACGAUUAGGAUGCAAUGCUGUGGAGGGGCGCCCACAUGGGAAUUGAGUCCACGUGGGAAUACUUCUAACAGGGAGGCAGUGUCGGUAAUAUUUGGAAGGCUUCUGCAACAAGCUCCUUCGACAAGAUCAAUGCCAUGAAAAUGGAGACCGAAAUGCCCUUUUUUCAGUGGGUGUUUCGGUGACCCCCAGCUAUCUCAGAAUUUCUGCUACGUCACCAGAGUUACCCUCACAGACAUAGCUAAGAAUUGGGCUUGGAGAGCCCCACCGUGGGUCGCCAGCCUGUAUCACGAGACAGCCCAGGCGUCAGGGGUACGUGGACGUCACACGCCGCUCCAGCCACCAGCACAGGACACCGCAGAUCGGGGGGCUUAACCAAUGAUCUAUUUUUCACACUUCUGGAGGUCGAACAUCCAAGGUCAGGAAACAGUACGUGUUUAUAUUGUAGAAGAUCAGGAUUAGGGGUGUGGUCAUUUGAUUC
rnacentral:lncRNA from 1 species